rnacentral:lncRNA from 12 species
UUUGCUGUGACCUGAAAUGGCCACAGUCCUUGUCUACCCGCAGGUCCUCCCUUAGACUCCUUUCAAUCUGCUGGUCUAGAAGAUGUUCCAGUGAUGUGCUAACGUCUUCGGAGAGAGGAACCCCCGUACUGUAAAGAGGAGAAUGCUUUCCUGCAGUCCACACACUAGAUUCUCACUUGCCCGAAUCCCUUCUGUGCCAUAAUUGAGCUCCACCCACAAGACAGGGACCAAACUUCUACUUCUUGCUUAGAAGGUCAUUACGGUCAAGACCACAGUGGCCGGUCCUGUCAUCUCGUGGACGCAUCCUUCCUCUCUGAACAAACAUCGGAAUUCUCCACCAUCUCCAAGAUGUCCCGGCUUCUCAUCCAGAUUCCUGCGCUGACCCCACAGGUCAAGAAGGGAGCCACUUCGAGAUGCACAGGACAAGGAAGAACAGAGAGAGGUGCUGAGGUCCAGCCCCUUGGUGAGGCUGAGCACGUAGACACAGAUGCACCUACGGGCACGGUUUUUGCCAUUAGCUGCAAUCCCACCCCUGAAAGUUUUAGUAGACCAGUUCAUGUUACCUUGAAGACCUAG